CGCCCAACCGCCCAGAAAGGAGUGAGGCAGGAGGCGGGGGCAAGGCGCGCAAGCGCGGAAGGAGGGGACGCGGCGCGCAACCGCCAGGGAGGCUGGAUUGGCCCGCGGAGACAGAGGCCGCGGCGCGCAGGAGGGGCGGCGGCCGCCGGCUUUUUGAAUCUCACUCACUAAACCUAGUCUCUCUUGGAAGACCUCCUCUGCCUCAAUCAGCAUUUUCCCCGUAGACCCAGCAAGAGCACUCUGUUCCCUUGAAGAUUCAAUCUCCUGUGUGACUCCUGCAAAUACUGGGAUCUUUUUAGAAUUUCCUCUCUAAGAGCCAUUCACAAAGUGGUGAGUUCAUUUGCCCACAGUCCACAUGGCAGCCAAUAGCAAAGCCAAGCAGCAGCUGUGCCUGGGUCUCCUUCUCCUGGGAGCCCAGGAAUAAAUUAUUCAAAAAAUAAUUAGCAAAAAGCUUUACCUUGUUUUAUUUAUUUAGUUGGUGA
rnacentral:lncRNA from 1 species